rnacentral:rRNA from 1 species
CGUGAGUAACCUGCCUCUAAGAGGGGAAUAACAUUCUGAAAAGAAUGCUAAUACCGCAUAACAUAUAUUUAUUGCAUGGUAGAUAUAUCAAAGAUUUAUCGCUUAGAGAUGGACUCGCGUCCGAUUAGUUAGUUGGUGAGGUAACGGCUCACCAAGACUGCGAUCGGUAGCCGGACUGAGAGGUUGAACGGCCACAUUGGGACUGAGACACGGCCCAG